GACCCAGUGGUGUAAUGGUUAACAUGCCUUUGCUAUUUGUAAAUCCUUCCAGAUGUCAGUAAAUAUGCAGGAGAUCCCUGUUCGACUCGGGGUUGGGUCG